GUACGUUUUUAGCUUAAAUGUUGUAAGAGUUAUUAAGCGUUUAUAAGUCGUGUUUUUUCGGCUGUUAAAAAAAUGACAACCGUUAUUUUUCAAGCUAAGUUAACUACAUACGGAGACCAACUGAAGGAGCUCGCGAUGGAGACAUUACACACCUUAUUAUGGGUGCCCGUGUCAACAGGUAGACCUCAAACCGUUACCACAGACUCCCAGCUGUCCUACCAGAAGGGAGCAAGGGAAUUAAGAAGGAAGCAAGGAAAUGAGGAGCAUUGAGUUACUCUGCAGCCCUGGGCCUGAUGGGGAACUGGACUCCGCAGUUUGUAUUCCCUCACAGAGCAGAGGUCAGCGGUAAUCAACCCAAACACUGCCAAGCCACUCUCUGUCUCACCACACAGCAUUCAGCACACACCACUUAUGCCUCUACACUACUUGUUGUUGUUGCUGUUGACUGGCACAUGUGAACCAGUAAACAAAGUCUUUUAGAGAUAAAAUAUAUGAACAUGUUGUCCCCUCAUUGAGAGAGGAAGAGAGGCCCUUGGGCUUCUCUAAUUGGUUCCCGGAGGAGGCUGUUAUUUAUGUAUU